CCUGGCGGCAUGCUUUACACAUGCAAGUCAGAACGGCAGCACGGGAGCUUGCUCCUGGUGGCGAGUGGCGAACGGGUGAGUAAUGCAUCGGAACGUACCCAGUCAUGGGGGAUAACUACGCGGAAGCGUGGCUAAUACCGCAUACGCCCUGAGGGGGAAAGCGGGGGAGUCUUUCGGGACCCUCGCGUGAUUGGAGCGGCUGAUGUCGGAUUAGCUUGUUGGUGGGGUAAAGGCCUACCAAGGCGACGAUCCGUAGCUGGUCUGAGAGGAUGAUCAGCCACACUGGGACUUGAGACACGGCCCAGACUCCUACGGGAGGCAGCAGUGGGGAAUUUUGGACAAUGGGGGCAACCCUGAUCCAGCCAUGCCGCGUGAGUGAAGAAGGCCUUCGGGUUGUAAAGCUCUUUCAGUUGGGAAGAAACGGUGUGCUCUAACAUAGCGCGCUAAUGACGGUACCAACAGAAGAAGCACCGGCUAACUACGUGCCAGCAGCCGCGGUAAUACGUAGGUGUGCGAGCGUUAAUCGGAAUUACUGGGCGUAAAGGGUGCGGCAGGCGGUUGUGUAAGACAGGUGUGAAAUCCCCGGGCUCAACCUGGGAAUGGCCGCUUGUGACUGCACCGGCUAGAGUACCGGCAGAGGGGGGUGGAAUUCCACGUGUAGCAGUGAAAUGCGUAGAGAUGUGGAGGAAUACCGAUGGCGAAGGCAGCCCCCUGGGAUAACACUGACGCUCAUGCACGAAAGCGUGGGGAGCAANACAGGAUUAGAUACCCUGGGUAGUCCCACGCCCUAACGAUGUCUACUAGUUGUCCGGGACUUAAUUGUCUUGGUAACCGCAGCUAACGCGUGAAGUAGACCGCCUGGGGAAGUACCGGUCGCANGAUUAAAACUCAAGGAAUUUGCGGGACCCCGACAAAGCGGUGGAUGAUGNGGGAUUAAUUCGAUGCCAACGCGAAAACCGUUACCUACCCUUGACAUGUACGGAAGCCCACGAGAGAUCGAGGUGUGCUCGAAAGAGAGCCGUAACACAGGUGCUGCAUGGCUGUCGUCAGCUCGUGUCGUGAGAUGNUGGGUUAAGUCCCGCAACGAGCGCAACCCUUGUCAUUAGUCUGCUACGAAAGGGCACUCUAAUGAGACUGCCGGUGACAAAACCGGAUGAAGGUGGGGAUGACGUCAAGUCCUCAUGGCCCUUAUGGGUAGGGCUUCACACGUCAUACAAUGGUACAUACAGAGGGCCUGCCAACCCCGCGAGGGGGAGCUAAUCCCAGAAAGUGUAUCGUAGUCCGGAUUGUAGUCUGCAACUCGACUACAUGAAGUUGGAAUCGCUAGUAAUCGCGGAUCAGCAUGUCGCGGUGAAUACGUUCCCGGGUCUUGUACACACCG
rnacentral:rRNA from 1 species